AUGAACGCUAGCGACAGGCCUAACACAUGCAAGUUGAGGGGCAGCACAAGGAGCAAUCUGAGGUGGCGACCGGCGCACGGGUGAGUAACACGUAUGCAACCUGCCUGUAAGCGGGGAAUAACCCGUUGAAAGACGGACUAAUACCGCAUAAUACUAAAUUACUGCAUGGUAAUUUAUUUAAACAUUUAUGGCUUACAGAUGGGCAUGCGCAUGAUUAGCUAGUUGGAGAGGUAACGGCUCCCCAAGGCAACGAUCAUUAGGGGUUCUGAGAGGAAGGUCCCCCACACUGGUACUGAGACACGGACCAGACUCCUACGGGAGGCAGCAGUGAGGAAUAUUGGUCAAUGGACGAGAGUCUGAACCAGCCAAGUCGCGUGCAGGAAGAAUGUCCCUAUGGAUUGUAAACUGCUUUUGCAGGGGAAUAAAGUGCAUCACGUGUGAUGUUUUGUAUGUACUCUGCGAAUAAGGAUCGGCUAACUCCGUGCCAGCAGCCGC
rnacentral:rRNA from 1 species